GUUGAAGCACCCAUUCCCAUAAGAUCACCGAAGUUAAGCAAGGUCGAAACUGGUCAGUACUUAUAUGGGUGUCCAUUUGGAAAUAACCGGUGCUGUAAG